CAAUAGCGUAUACUAAAGUUGUUGCAGUUAAAAAGCUCGUAGUUGGAUUUCUGGUAGGAGCGACCGUGCCGAACUUGAUUGUUCGAGUAUUGUGUUGUCUUCAGCCAUCCUCGUGGAGAACUUUUCUAACAUUAACUUGUUGGGAUUGGGACCCGCGUCGUUUACUGUGAAAAAAUUAGAGUGUUUAAAGCAGGCAUUAGCUUGAAUACAUUAGCAUGGAAUAAUAAGAUAGGACUUUGGUACUAUUUUGUUGGUUUGCAUACCAAAUUAAUGAUCAACAGGAACAGUUUGAGGAUAUUCGUAUGAACAUGUCAGAGGUGAAAUUCUUGGAUUUUGAUCAGACGAACUACUGCGAAAGCAUUUAUCAAGGAUGUUUUCAUUAA
rnacentral:rRNA from 1 species